UACGGAGGAUCCAAGCGUUGUCCGGAUUUAUUGGGUUAAAGGGUGCGUAGGCGGAUCUUUAAGUCAGUGGUGAAAGCCUGCAGCUCAACUGUAGAACAGCCAUUGAAACUGAAGAUCUUGAAUAUGGUUAAAGUAGGCGGAAUGUAUCAUGUAGCGGUGAAAUGCUUAGAUAUGAUACAGAACACCGAUAGCGAAGGCAGCUUGCUGAACCAUUAUUGACGCUGAGGCACG
rnacentral:rRNA from 1 species